rnacentral:rRNA from 1 species
UACGGAGGGUGCAAGCGUUAUCCGGAUUCACUGGGUUUAAAGGGUGCGUAGGUGGGUUGGUAAGUCAGUGGUGAAAUCUUCGAGCUUAACUCGGAAACUGCCAUUGAUACUAUCAGUCUUGAAUAUUGUGGAGGUUAGCGGAAUAUGUCAUGUAGCGGUGAAAUGCUUAGAUAUGACAUAGAACACCAAUUGCGAAGGCAGCUGGCUACACAUAUAUUGACACUGAGGCACGAAAGCGUGGGGAUCAAACAGG